UGCUACAGGCUUAACACAUGCAAGUCGAGGGGCAGCAUGGUCUUAGCUUGCUAAGGCCGAUGGCGACCGGCGCACGGGUGAGUAACACGUAUCCAACCUGCCGUCUACUCUUGGACAGCCUUCUGAAAGGAAGAUUAAUACAAGAUGGCAUCAUGAGUCCGCAUGUUCACAUGAUUAAAGGUAUUCCGGUAGACGAUGGGGAUGCGUUCCAUUAGAUAGUAGGCGGGGUAACGGCCCACCUAGUCUUCGAUGGAUAGGGGUUCUGAGAGGAAGGUCCCCCACAUUGGAACUGAGACACGGUCCAAACUCCUACGGGAGGCAGCAGUGAGGAAUAUUGGUCAAUGGGCGAGAGCCUGAACCAGCCAAGUAGCGUGAAGGAUGACUGCCCUAUGGGUUGUAAACUUCUUUUAUAAAGGAAUAAAGUCGGGUAUGGAUACCCGUUUGCAUGUACUUUAUGAAUAAGGAUCGGCUAACUCCGUGCCAGCAGCCGCGGUAAUACGGAGGAUCCGAGCGUUAUCCGUAUUUAUUGGGUUUAAAGGGAGCGUAGAUGGAUGUUUAAGUCAGUUGUGAAAGUUUGCGGCUCAACCGUAAAAUUGCAGUUGAUACUGGAUAUCUUGAGUGCAGUUGAGGCAGGCGGAAUUCGUGGUGUAGCGGUGAAAUGCUUAGAUAUCACGAAGAACUCCGAUUGCGAAGGCAGCCUGCUAAGCUGCAACUGACAUUGAGGCUCGAAAGUGUGGGUAUCAAACAGGAUUAGAUACCCUGGUAGUCCACACGGUAAACGAUGAAUACUCGCUGUUUGCGAUAUACAGCAAGCGGCCAAGCGAAAGCGUUAAGUAUUCCACCUGGGGAGUACGCCGGCAACGGUGAAACUCAAAGGAAUUGACGGGGGCCCGCACAAGCGGAGGAACAUGUGGUUUAAUUCGAUGAUACGCGAGGAACCUUACCCGGGCUUAAAUUGCAGAUGAAUUACGGUGAAAGCCGUAAGCCGCAAGGCAUCUGUGAAGGUGCUGCAUGGUUGUCGUCAGCUCGUGCCGUGAGGUGUCGGCUUAAGUGCCAUAACGAGCGCAACCCUUGUUGUCAGUUACUAACAGGUUCCGCUGAGGACUCUGACAAGACUGCCAUCGUAAGAUGUGAGGAAGGUGGGGAUGACGUCAAAUCAGCACGGCCCUUACGUCCGGGGCUACACACGUGUUACAAUGGGGGGUACAGAGGGCCGCUACCACGCGAGUGGAUGCCAAUCCCAAAAACCUCUCUCAGUUCGGACUGGAGUCUGCAACCCGACUCCACGAAGCUGGAUUCGCUAGUAAUCGCGCAUCAGCCACGGCGCGGUGAAUACGUUCCCGGGCCUUGUACACACCGCCCGUCAAGCCAUGGGAGCCGGGGGUACCUGAAGUGCGUAACCGCGAGGAGCGCCCUAGGGUAAAACUGGUGACUGGGG
rnacentral:rRNA from 1 species